UUGUAAGGCCUGCUCAAUGAAAAUUAAAUAGCCGCAGAAAUUUAACUGUGCUAAGGUAGCAUAAUCAUUAGAUUUUUAAUUAAAAUCUGGAAUGAAAGGAUUAACCUUUAAUAACUUUCCUAAAAUAUAUAAUUUUCAAAUUAUAAUAAAAAUAAAAAUAUUUUUAUAAUUUAAAAAGACGACAAGACCCUAUUGAACUUAACUUAAGUUAAGCUGGGGCAGCUUAUUAAAAAAAAUUUUAAUAAAAAUAUUUAAAUAAAUACCUAAUAUUAUUAAAUUAAACAAGUUACCAUAGGGAUAACAGCGUAAUUUUUUAAAAAAGUUCUUAUCUAAUAAAAAGAUUGCGACCUCGAUGUUGAAUUAUAUACCUUUUUAAAGCAAAAUUAAAUAA
rnacentral:rRNA from 1 species